rnacentral:rRNA from 1 species
UACGGGGGGGGCAAGCGUUGUUCGGAAUUACUGGGCGUAAAGGGCUCGUAGGCGGCCAACUAAGUCGGAUGUGAAAUCCCCAGGCUCAACCUGGGAACUGCAUCCGAUACUGGAUGGCUUGAAUUCGGGAGAGGGAUGCAGAAUUCCAGGUGUAGCGGUGAAAUGCGUAGAUAUCUGGAGGAAUACCGGUGGCGAAGGCGGCAUCCUGGACCGACAUUGACGCUGAGGAGCGAAAGCCAGGGGAGCGAACAGG